rnacentral:rRNA from 1 species
AGAGUUUGAGUUCUGGCUCAGGAUGAACGCUGGCGGCAGGCUUAAUACAUGCAAGUUGAACGGUAACAUGUGUAGCAAUACGAUGAUGACGAGUGGCGCACGGGUGCGUAACACGUGUGUAACCUACCUUAUACAGGAACAUAACGUUGAGAAAUCGGCGCUAACAUUCCAUAAGUAUUAUUUGUAGGCAUCUAUGAAUAAUUAAAAACUCCGGUGGUAUAAGAUGGGCACGCGUUCCAUUAGCUAGUUGGUAAGGUAACGGCUUACCAAGGCAACGAUGGAUAGGGGUUCUGAGAGGAUAAUCCCCCACACUGGAACUGAGACACGGUCCAGACUCCUACGGGAGGCAGCAGUAAGGAAUAUUGGGCAAUGGAGGCAACUCUGACCCAGCCAUGCCCGCGUGCAGGAAGACGGCCCUAUGGGUUGUAAACUGCUUUUAAUAGGGAUUAAAGUCGACUACGUGUAGUUGUUUGCAAGUACCUAUAGAAUAAGCAUCGGCUAACUCCGUGCCAGCCGCCGC